rnacentral:rRNA from 1 species
AACGAACGCUGGCGGCGUGCCUAACACAUGCAAGUCGCGCGAGAAAAGGGGGGUAACUCCCUGAGUAAAGCGGCGCACGGGUGAGUAACACGUAGGUAACCUACCCCCGAGUCCAGGAUAACCUGCCGAAAGGUGGGCUAAUACCGGAUAUGACCACGGGAGCUUCGGCUCCUGAGGUGAAAGGUGGGCUCUGCUCGCAAGCUACUGCUCGAGGAUGGGCCUGCGCGCCAUUAGCUAGUUGGUGGGGUAACGGCCCACCAAGGCGAUGAUGGCUAGCUGGUCUGAGAGGAUGGCCAGCCACACUGGGACUGAAACACGGCCCAGACUCCUACGGGAGGCAGCAGUGGGGGAUAUUGCGCAAUGGGCGAAAGCCUGACGCAGCGACGCCGCGUGGGUGAUGAA